rnacentral:rRNA from 1 species
UACGGAGGGGGCUAGCGUUGUUCGGAAUUACUGGGCGUAAAGGGCGCGCAGGCGGCUGCUCAAGUCAGGCGUGAAAGGCCUGGGCUCAACUGGGGAACUGCGCGGGAGACUGCGGGGCUUGAGUUCGGGAGAGGGAAGCGGAAUUCCGGGUGUAGCGGUGAAAUGCGUAGAUAUCCGGAGGAACACCGGUGGCGAAGGCGGCUUCCUGGACAGUUACUGACGCUGAGACGCGAAAGCGUGGGGAGCAAACAGG